rnacentral:lncRNA from 1 species
UUGCACUAAUGAUGUAUUAAAACAUUGAUCUGAUGGCAGGAAGAUCCAAGAUGGUACUGUAUGGUUCUUGCGUUAACCCUCUUGUAGAUAUUGAAAUGCAUGAAAGUCACAUUAGAUUAUGUAUUGAAACAUAUACAAGGUUUUCUCUACCAAAGUAUAUAUUGUGUUUCUAUUGUUUGCCUGAGUAAUCUAAAUUCACCUUAUAUUCUUGAAGUUAUUGGUCUAUCAAUUAUUUAUCUGUAUUUCAUUUUGCCAAAAAAACAAAUAGAAGAGCCAAACAUUGCAUGCUUCGACAAACGAAACCUGCCCACGGAGGUGGUGGCGCCGGUGGUAGGCGGCAAUGAGGCAACAACGCUUCAUGAGGCGGUCAAGUCUGUGGUCGUGAGCCGAUGCAUCCACCGACGCCGCAGUCGAGUCAACUUCAGGACUCUAUUAGUGAUAUUUGGUUGUGUUAAAGGAAAAAAAU